rnacentral:lncRNA from 1 species
CCUUGAACUUUGCGUCGAGUUGGUUGUAUCUCUCUUGAAUCUUCUCGACGUCAUGGAUAGAGUCUCCAUGAUAACAAGCAUGUGCCAUGUAACAUGCGGCAUUCAUAUGCUUCAACAGUUCACUCCGGCACCAAGUCCCAGGAUGCCCCAAGAGGAGUGACAUCGCUUCCCUUCUAGUUUCAGUACUAGCCACAAAGUCGGGAAGGGUCACUCCGGCAGAAGUGUAAGGCUCAUAGCCCCUGGGAGGUGGAGGUGCAGAGCGAGAGCUCGACCCAUGCUCAAA